GCUCACCCAAACUUGGCUUCCUCUGCCUGUCCCAGGCACAGGCCUGGCAGGAAGUGACCAGCCUCCCAUUAGCUCUUGCCACAGGUCUGGGAGAGUUCACAGGCUGCUGAGCUGAGAUAAGAGGACCGGCAGGAACUGAGGGUUUCCUCACCCUAGAAAAGCACCUCCUCCUACUACUCCUUUGCCCUCCAGACUCAAGGCAGGAAGAGAAACCUGGGGAAGGGGCCUCAGAGGAGAGGCCUCCAUCAUGUGUUCAUUCUGACUGUUAUCAGGUGCCCAGAGAUGGAAGCCACCCUGACUGGGGAUGAGCAGUUACUUCACCAACUCAAACUGGCUUAGACGGUCAGUGCUACCACCUGGCAUGUCAACAAAGGAUGGAGGAAGUGCAGUGCUGCUCCCCGCAAUGAUAUGAGCUGCAAUGGUGUCCUUUGGGCUGAUUUCCUCUCUCCACCCACGUCCGAAGUUUUGGGGCGUCUCUUUAGAGUUCUUUCUCUCUAGCCACAAGUCCUGCAGGCCAUUGGAAGACUAGGCUGCAGAAAGCUCAAACUGUUCCUUCCAUUUUGGGACCAGGGAACAGAGCUCACUUAAUGCUGCUCUCCCACUGAUGAUGCCCACCCAUUCUCGGCCUGCAAGCCCUACCACUCACAGCUUCAAAAAUGGCUCCGCCCUUCCUGAUUCCACCCCACACAGAAGAAAGCAACUUCUUGUGAUGCUUCCUUAUUCUGGAUGUGGCUCACCUCUUACCCCUUCCAACUCCUUUGGGUCCCCUAGAAAGCCUCCCUGGCUAAGGGGUACAGGCCCUCUCCUCAGCAGUGGGCACUGACCGUCUAACCAGGGCUCUGUCUCGGCACCUGGUAGCAAGGACGGCAAGAUACAACAACAUGCUGAUUUUAAUAGCCUCUGGCUUUCUCCACUGCGUUUCUCACCUGAAUGCCCUGCACACCAAAUCUUCCAUGGGGUCACCCUUGACCUCUAGGGCAAUUCCCAAGAAUCUAGCAGAGGAGUGGGGGAAACCAAAAGGCUGACAUGAAGGACUCAAGGGAAGCCUCUGGAAAGAAGAGACCAGACACUAAAAGGGAUGUGUGUGAAAUACUGGUUUUUAUUGGUUGGCACAAGAUUACAACCUACAAUUUCAAUGCCCUUCCCUCCCACACAGCUCAAAUGGAAGGAAACUGAUUAACACAUAGAAAGGAACGGCAGGCUCACAGGUUUAAGCAUUUGUUUUUACAAAAAGGAGUGGGAUAUGGGGGUGGUCAAGUUUUACGGGUAAUAACAACAUUCUCUCUAGAUGGCAGGGGGUAAGUCUGCCUGUCCUCCAUUGCUGGUACCACAUAAGGGAUACAUUAGUAAAGUAGGGAAAGGGUUAUAUGUGUGGCUGGCCUGUUCUUUAGAGAGGAAGGUGGGAUGGUAUCUGCUGUGUACCUGUCUCAGACCAAACCUGGGGCUGGACCAGUGCCCCUUUCUUCUCAGCCCUCCUCCACAGCCUGACUGUACUGCCAGCCGCACCCAUGAGAAGGAGGUGUGAAGGAAGCCUGAGGACAUCCACCUCGAGAAAAGGAAACAGGAAAACUAUUUCCUUCCGCCUUCUCUGGACCAAAUUUCACUCCCCUCAGCUCCAGAGAGUGCUGCAAAAAUCUUCCUUAGGGACGCUGUGAAGACACGGGGAAGAGGCCAGCCCUGAGCGGGCAAGAAGAAAAGCUUGAACUUUCCAUGCAGUACCAAGCAAGGCUAUUUUGGAAACAAGCAAACAAACAAAAAAUGGAAACCAACACCAUAUAACCACAGGUUGGGUAGCUCCUAAAUCCUGGACAGCAUUUGGAUUGGGGGUAAGGGCAAUUUUACUCCAGCUCCUUGUUUUAUAACCCGCACAAGGUGCCAAGAGGUUUAAGGACCACAACUGACCUCUCUUUCCCUACAAGCACCAUUCCUUGGAUUCCCAGUUUUGUUGAGCUCAUUUGAGGUCAUCCUUGCCAUCCUCUUAAAAAAUGACACAGCCUCUUGGUUAUUCCAUUUUCUAUCCCUUUCUACAAUUAUGAACACACUCUCUAAACAGGAGAUCUAUAUAUGCUCUCAUCCUGCAACCCAAGAGAUUAGGUGACCUAAUGAUGAGAAGGCUAACUUAUUUGCUUUCCUGGGUGGUCCUGAUGGAAAUGAACAGCAGCAGAGUUCUGGUGGGAUAGAGCAGUCUAGUCUGAGCCACUGUGUGAUUCCCCAGGGGACUGGUCCCUGGGUACAUGGGUCCCUGGCUCUCUGUCUCAGUUCCACAGAUAUUACUCAACUUGGCCAUUUACGCCUCAGCUAAAACAUAUGAGCAUGAGGGAAAAGGGACAAGAAAUACUUUUGUCCUCUAGAAAAACUUAACUCAAUACAUCUUGGCUACUUUGCCUCAACCCACGGGGUUCCCUGGAAACAUUUGUUGAACUUGGCCAAGAGGAGAUUGUAUAUGGAUGGCACACCUGGAAAAGGGGAGAAAGCACACUAGUUCAUCUCUUUUAUAAGUAGAAUGGUCCCAGGGAUGUUAACCUUUCUGAUGCUGAUAGUAGAUGAGUGGAGUGGAGGUAAUCGUGAGAAAACUUAAAAACCCUUAAGCUGUUUGGAGACUACACACCACAGUGGAGCAAACCAAGGUGGGGCCUCACUGCCUCCUCAGAGCCCAUCCCUGACCAUGUCAUUGGAUAGGAUGGAAGACAAAGUCUUUGAAAUGGAGGCUGGGCUGGCAAAAGUAAGUAUGAAGAUGCUACUACUGGCCUUCCACUUCCUCUCUCUGAUACACCUAAGAAGGUGAGAGACACUAGCUUCAAUUCCAUUUUACAACAGUUCUCAACAACCUGAAAUAUUCUUGACUUCCUUAAGCACAUGGAAAACUGGUGAUAUCCCAAGUGACACAGAAACACAGCUCCUCCGGAUGGUGAAGUCUCCGCUGCAAAACUCACGAAACAGCACAGAGGAUGACUCUAGGGUGCUCUCCCACUUGCUCCAAGUUAGGCAGGUGCCCUGAUGGAGGCAAGGCUGAGCCAUUAACAUGCACAGCUCCAUAUCCUGGAAGCCUCUGUAGCCUUGAGGAGAUAGGCUCUAUCCAACAGGACUCAGAAUAAAUGACUGCCACCUCAACUGAGCAGUAUGAACUGCCCACCUCAACUGGGCAGUCUGACCUCUUCCACAGUCUUUAAGAAACAGAAGAGCCAUUUGCAUUAUUUAAUCACCAUUCAAUAAUCUCCUCCCUCCCCAUAGCUGCUUGAGUUAACUGUCCCACAAGUGUCCUGUGUUUUGUAAAGAUGAGGGUUAUUUUCUGAAAUGCAGAUGGGACUAGGAUGAAGCUGUAUUAUCAAUUACAGAGACAGCCAACUCUCAUUUCUCUUAAAGCAAAAAUUCAUUCCACUGUGAUUUCUCCAGGUAUUUCCUGCAAUUCUAAAUCCGCCCUUGAUAUUAGAGAAUAUUAAAAUCACACAGUUGUGGCAAAAAUCACAUUGUGGCUAUUAAAUCCUUUUUGUGAACUAAAAAAAGUGAAUGUGGCUUAGGCUAAGCUGUUUUUUUUUUUUUUUUUUUAAAGAUGAGGAUGCGGACUCCAACAAAGGCAUUAAGAAAGUACUAGAUGAAAAUGAGAAAUAUGUGAAGGAUAACAUGUGAAAUGUACACUCAGGUCUAACAAAUACCUAUUAUUUCUCUGGUUAAGAAGGUUUAGCAGGAGCCUCCAAUGAGCACUGUAUGUAGAGAAAAGGGAAGGAGCAGGAGGAGGAACAGAUCUGCACAGAAUUUUUUUCUUAAAAACCACAAAGGGUGACUUUUUUCUUCUAAGCAAGCAAGCCUGAGAGGCAUUACAUGGGCUGGCUCCUAAUAUCAAAACAAAAUAUUUCUUUGCCACAAAGGAACUUGACUAUGUAGCAACACAUUUACAAAACUACUGCAAAACACUCCCAGAGGGCAGUGACCUACUCUGCUCCCCAGAGGCUCCAAGAAGCAAGGCCUCAAGUGCCUCAUGUUCCAUGGGGCUGUGCAGUGCAAUGCAGAAGGCGGAAAUCCUGCUGUGACGCCACCCUCGAGACCUUCUGCAGCCUGAGAGGGGGUGAUACUCCCACACCCUUUGAUCCUUCCAGAUGGCUCAGCCUAGAUCUAGCAGUGAGAGAGCCCUCUCCAUGCAGGGCAGAUGGAGUGGUGGACACUUGUGAAAACAAAACACUAACUGUUCCAUCCUGUUAUAUUUGCUGUGAGGAAAAUUAAGAUUCCUGUUGUAUGGGCUGCACUGUUUCUGGAAGACUACAGAAAAUCUAACAUGGUUGACACUUCCUGGUAGCCCUUCUGUACAUACACACACACACACCCAGAGAGAAGACAGAGAGAAAAUCCUGGUCCAAAAGAUCACAUGACCUUACUAGUGUUUCCCCAAUGACUGUAAUUUAUAAACUAAAAAUUUUUACAAAUCCACUGCUAUCUUCUUCUGUCCUGAGUUUGGUAGACUUUAAUGGAUGCUCCAGCAAUAACCAGAAUCUAGGACAUGCAGACUCACUGUGAGCGAGAGGCUAGGGAUCUGCCCUAAACAUAGGAACCUGUUUCUAUCAAGCCUGAAUGAGGUCAGCUCUGGUAGAAUUAAUGACAAAUCAAUGUCAGUGAAAUAUUCUGCAAACAGGGUAGCUUUUGUGCUUUCUUUUGAUUAUUUUCUUUGGGGAGAUAAAGGUAUUGCAACCAUGGGUCUAACUAAUCUAUCACUAAAGGACUGUGACGACAUUCUCAAUAAAGACAGUCAUGGUGUUUACUGUGCCAAGGAGGGAAAAUCCCAGAUCAUCAGAAUCCCAGUGCAACAGAAAACAGCACCAGUUUCAACAAUUCUGAUGUUGGACAAAGCCUCUUUUUGUCAGUUAAGAAAGCGUAAGCACAAUCUCUCAGUCAAUUGCAUUAACAGGAAUCCAUUCAUGUCACUGAAAAAUACUUCUUGGCACAGUUCACUUUCCUGACCCAAAGACACCAACAACAAUCAAAACUGCACUUUCAGGGUAGUAUAUUGUUACACUAGCCCAGUCAAAACAUACUCAGAACAUUUAAAAAUGUAUAAAUUACUGUUAGCACUGCAGUUCCGUUUUAUUUUCUUAUUUAUUUAUUAAGACAGAGUCUUACUCUGUUGCCCAGGCUGGAGUGCAGUGGCAUGAUCUUGGCUUACUGCAACCUCUGCCUCCCAGGUUUAAGCAAUUCUCAUGCUUCAGCCUACCAAGUAGCUGGGAUUACAGGAGUGCACCAUCAUGCCCAGCUAAUUUUUGUAUUUUAGUAGAGAUGGGGUUUUGCCAUGUUGGUCAGGCUGGUCUCAAACUCCUGGCCUCAAGUGACCCACCUGCCUUGGCCUCCCAAAGUGCUGGGAUUACAGGUGUGAGCCACUACACCCAGCCCUGCAGUCCCUUUUUAAAGAGUACUGACUGUUUUCCUGCAAAGUACUUUCAAAUCCAUACCAUAAAGGUAGAAUUUAUCUGGAAGAAUGUGUUUUUUGAAUUCCACCUGGCACUUGGUUAAAUCUACUUUAUUUUGCCCUUUAUUUAUUUGAACAGAACUUUAGAAUGCUCUAGGUCAGGAAAAGAAACAGUGUGUUCGUUUUUAAGAAGGAUGUGUGAAUAGUAAGUUGGCAUUCAGACUCAAGUCCCAUGGUAUUGUUCUUAUCCAAUGGGACCUCUCCUUGGGAAUAUAAUUCCUUUCCCAGAGGUAUCAUGGUAUCCCAAGAAUAUAACUGCUCUUUGGCUCUGUGUGUGAAGAUUGGGGGAGAGGAUGUAAACUAAGAGUAUAUAGCAAAAAAAAAAAAAAAAAUUUUUUUUUUUUUUUUUUGAGAUGGAGUUUCACUCUUAUCACCCAGGCUGGACGACAGUGGUGCAAUCUCGGCUCACUGCAACCUCUGCCUCCCAGGUUCAAGCGAUUAUCUCGCCUCAGCCUCCCAAGUAGCUGGGAUUACAGGCGCCCACCUAAUUUCUGCAUUUUUAGUAGAGACGGGGUUUCACCAUGUUGGUCAGGCUGGUCUCAAACUCCUGACCUCAGGUGAUCCACCUGCCUCAGCCUCCCAAAGUGCUGGGAUUACAGGUGUGAGCCACCGUGCCCAGUGAGUAGACAGCAAAAUUUAAAGUUCACCAACUGAUGUUCCCAAAAGUGCUGAACACUAAAUGACACAGGGCUAUGAGGUACAUACAUUUCUUUUAGUAGGAGGGAAAAGUAAAAGCUUUUCAAAGUUUGAGUGCUUUAUUAGAAUUUUUAAAUGAGGCGAACUAUGAUUUUAAUUUCACAUCUUGGCUAAGGAGAUGCCACUGGAGUACAGAGAUAAUCUCCUGUCUUAAGCCACGGAUCAGUCAGUGUAGCCCUCCCUACCCCUCAAUCUCAAGACCCUCUUACUUCCGAACUAAACAACACAAUUGGCAAAUGAAGCCAGCACGAAACUGUAUCAAAAAACAAGAGAGUCUGCAGUGAGCCAGUGUAUUAUGUAACCACUGUAAUAAGUGAUUACGUGGCCUCCCAUAUGGACCUUUCAUAUCCUGGUGGGAGAUGGGAGACCAAUUUAAUAGCUCUGAGCAUGCUCCAUGGUGCAAUCACAAGUGCCAUGCCAAUACAAAGACAAGCAAGCAGGUGAAUUUCCCUAGUGUACUUUUCAGGAACACGGUUACUCAGUUCAGGGACAGGACUACAUUGAUGCACCUGCAAAGUAAAGUUGGAUGCUUCAGAGCACAUGGAUGAUACCCAGGUCAGCACGGUGUAAGGCAUAUAUGGACACAAAGAGAGGCCAUUGUUGGCAAUAAAUAGCAUUACGGAAAAGAUUCCAAACCAGCAGAACAGAAAUGGACCUGAUGCUCCAGUUUUUUAGAUAAGUAAUCCCAAGAAUCCAGUUCCAACUCUACUGUCAACAUGUGGGGCAGAAUUCAAUUUCUAUCAUUGUUUUUACAGAUCUGGGCUGAGGCCAUUUGCUCCUUGCUUGGUUAAAAAAAAAUAAAAAAAUAAAAAAAGGUUUCUUCCUGUUUCUUUCUGGGCAGGGAAAUACAGCUUAAAGAAGGAAAGGCCAUGAGUCCUGGGAGCACUAUGAAGGUAGCUAAACUCUUCCCAUAUCUACAGUCAAUGACUGGGAAAUAGAGAAAGGACAGGGCAACCUGCCCAGCCACUAGCAUCGAAAACAAAAAGGUAUGUUAAUUGUGAGGCUCUCAAUUCUAGAAAUGCCCAAAUUAAAAGAGAAAAAAACCUUGAAAAAUUAAACAAAUUUCUCUUUCUAGAAGUCAUUUAUUUACAUAUUAUAUGUCCGAUAUAUAAUGUGUAGAUAAAUGUAUACUGCAGUGAAAGUGACCACUCUACUGAACUGUACAGCACAUUAUAGGACAAAUUAUUGGAAGUUUUCAUCUCAUACUGGUAUCUUUUAAUAAAAAAAAAAAAUUAAAAAUCAAAGAAAACGUCUGGCCAGGGCCAGGAUAAG
rnacentral:lncRNA from 1 species